GCUCUGCCAACGCAGCAGCAGGGUACUGUCUUGUGGCGGAAUGUUCCUACUCGUGGAUCAGCUUCUGCGAGGCGCAGGCUCGGUGUGCGGCGCGAGGUCUCCCCAUGGCGUCUCGAGAGUUGUACCAGAACUCCAACCUCAUCGACAAGGAGACUCGUCUUGGUUCUAAUCAAACUGACUUCUGGGUGAACAUUACUCGGAUAAACAAUGUGUGGCGUUGGAUGCCGAGCA